rnacentral:rRNA from 1 species
ACGAACGCUGGCGGCGUGCCUAACACAUGCAAGUCGAACGGAAAACAAUCGAGAUUUCGAUUUUGGUUGUUUUUAGUGGCGGACGGGUGAGUAACGCGUGAGAAUCUGCCUCUAAGUGGGGAAUAACAGUUGGAAACGACUGCUAAUACCGCAUAACAUGGGAAACCAUCAAAGGAGCUUCACGGCUUCGCUUGGAGAUGAGCUCGCGUCUGAUUAGCUAGUUGGUGGGGUAAGAGCCUACCAAGGCGACGAUCAGUAGCCGGCCUGAGAGGGUGAACGGCCACAUUGGAACUGAGAAACGGUCCAAACUCCUACGGGAGGCAGCAGUGGGGAAUAUUGCGCAAUGGGGGGAACCCUGACGCAGCGACGCCGCGUGAGCGAAGAAGGCCUUCGGGUUGUAAAGCUCUGUUUUAAGGGAAGAAUAAUAUAUGCAGGAAAUGGCAUAUAUCUGACGGUACCUUAAGAGGAAGCCCCGGCUAACUACGUGCCAGCAGCCGCGGUAAGACGUAGGGGGCGAGCGUUGUCCGGAAUCACUGGGCGUAAAGAGCACGUAGGCGGAAAAUUAAGUCCAUUGUGAAAGACCGGGGCUCAACUUCGGAAUUGCAGUGGAAACUGACUUUCUUGAGGGCAGGAGAGGAAAGCGGAAUUCCUGGUGUAGCGGUGAAAUGCGUAGAAAUCAGGAGGAACACCGGUGGCGAAGGCGGCUUUCUGGACUGACCCUGACGCUGAGGUGCGAAAGCGUGGGUAGCAAACAGGAUUAGAUACCCUGGUAGUCCACGCCGUAAACGAUGGAUACUAGGUGUGGGAGGUAUCGACCCCUUCCGUGCCGCAGCUAACGCAAUAAGUAUCCCGCCUGGGGAGUACGGCCGCAAGGUUGAAACUCAAAGGAAUUGACGGGGGCCCGCACAAGCGGUGGAGCAUGUGGUUUAAUUCGAUGCAACGCGAAGAACCUUACCAAGUCUUGACAUCCACAGAAUCCUGUAGAAAUAUGGGAGUGCCUUUCGGGGAACUGUGAGACAGGUGGUGCAUGGUUGUCGUCAGCUCGUGUCGUGAGAUGUUGGGUUAAGUCCCGCAACGAGCGCAACCCUUGCUAUUAGUUGCUAACAGGCAAAGCUGAGCACUCUAAUGGGACUGCCGGUGACAAGCCGGAGGAAGGUGGGGAUGACGUCAAAUCAUCAUGCCCCUUAUGAUUUGGGCUACACACGUGCUACAAUGGAUGGUACAAAGAGGAGCAAGACCGCGAGGUGGAGCAAAUCUCAAAAAGCCAUUCUCAGUUCGGAUUGUAGUCUGCAACUCGACUACAUGAAGUCGGAAUCGCUAGUAAUCGCGGAUCAGCAUGCCGCGGUGAAUGCGUUCCCGGGCCUUGUACACACCGCCCGUCACACCACGAAAAUCGGCAACACCCGAAGCCGGUGGGCUAACAGCAAUGAGGCAGCCGUCGAAGGUGGGGUUGGUAAUUGGGGUG